rnacentral:rRNA from 1 species
UACAGAGGGUGCAAGCGUUAAUCGGAAUUACUGGGCGUAAAGCGUGCGUAGACGGUAGCGUAAGUCGGGUGUGAAAGCCCCGGGCUCAACCUGGGAAUUGCAUUCGAGACUGCUCUGCUAGGGUGCGGAAGAGGGAAGCGGAAUUUCCGGUGUAGCGGUGAAAUGCGCAGAUAUCAGGAAGAACACCCGUGGCGAAGGCGGCUCUCUGGGACGGUACUGACGCUGAGACGCGAAAGCGUGGGGAGCGAACAGG